GCAAGUCGAGCGGAGAGAAGAAGCUUGCUUCUUCUCUUAGCGGCGGACGGGUGAGUAACACGUGGGCAACCUACCUUGUAGAUUGGGAUACCUCCGGGAAACCGGGGCUAAUACCGAAUAAUCCAUUUUGCUUCAUGGCGAGAUGUUAAAAGACGGUUUCGGCUGUCACUACUAGAUGGGACCGCGGCGUAUUAGCUAGUUGGGAGGGUAACGGCCUACCAAGGCGACGAUACUUAGCCGACCUGAGAGGGUGAUCGGCCACACUGGGACUGAGACACGGCCCAGACUCCUACGGGAGGCAACAGUAGGGAAUCUUCCACAAUGGACUAAAGUCUGAUGGAGCGACGCCGCGUGAGUGAAGAAGGUUUUCGGAUCGUAAAACUCUGUUGUGAGGGAAGAACACGUACUAUAGUAACUGCUCGUACCUUGACGGAACCUUAUUAGAAAGCCACGGCUAACUACGUGCCAGCAGCCGCGGUAAUACGUACGUGGCAAGCGUUGUCCGGAAUUAUUGGGCGUAAAGCGCGCGCAUGCGGUUCUUUAAGUCCUAUGUGAAAGCCCACGGCUCAACCGUGGAGGGUCAUUGGAAACUGGGGAACUUGAGUACUGAAGAGGAAAGCGGAAUUCCACG
rnacentral:rRNA from 1 species